AACACAUGCAAGUCGAACGCAUCGCAAGAUGAGUGGCAGACGGGUGAGUAACGCGUGGGAAUCUACCCAAUUCUUCGGAGCAACUGAGGGAAACUUCAGCUAAUACCGGAUGUGCCCUUCGGGGGAAAGAUUUAUCGGAAUUGGAUGAGCCCGCGUUGGAUUAACUAGUUGGUGGGGUAAAGGCCUACCAAGGCGACGAUCCAUAGCUGGUCUGAGAGGAUGAUCAGCCACACUGGGACUGAGACACGGCCCAGACUCCUACGGGAGGCAGCAGUGGGGAAUAUUGGACAAUGGGCGCAAGCCUGAUCCAGCCAUGCCGCGUGAGUGAUGAAGGUCUUAGGAUUGUAAAGCUCUUUCACCGGUGAAGAUAAUGACGGUAACCGGAGAAGAAGCCCCGGCUAACUUCGUGCCAGCAGCCGCGGUAAUACGAAGGGGGCUAGCGUUGUUCGGAUUUACUGGGCGUAAA
rnacentral:rRNA from 1 species